UUUUUUUUUUGCUGGCUCACUUCCUGUGUUGCUGAAACUUUCCAACUUCUUUAAUAAAGCCCCGCCCCCAGCUCACAACUUCACUUCCUCUUCCACUGUGGCUGUUUCCUCUGUUCGGCGUCUCCCAAACAAAUCAAUACACUUCUUCAAAUCUGCAAACUCCAUUAUAAGAAUUGAUGGCUCUGCUAGUUCAGAACUCCGCUGGGAUUCCGCCAUUAUUAGCCACCGGGUCGCUACGUACUUAGCAUUGAGGUCAAGUACUCCUUACUCUGCUGAAAAGGUUGAGGUUUUUUAAUGGACCAGAAUCUUCACCUGGAUGUGUUGAUGGCGAGCUAGACAAUGGAUGAUGGACUUUGAUGGACUUACUGCUGUUUUUGUCUUUUUUUGUACAACCACUUAAUAUAUUCACUAAAACUAAAACCACUGCCUCCUGUUUUCAUUCACACCUCAAGUCUCUUUUGAAGGACUCUCUUCUGAUGCCUAACCUUUGUGUUACACCUGACUAAAAUCAUACAAAACAUUAUGGAAGAUUGCGUCAUGGACUGAUGAAACCACACUUAAACUUAAACAUUUCCAAAACGGUACAUUUAGCACACAAAUAACACAACCUUUGGUUGUCUGCUAACCUGAAAAUGAAGAGAGGUUUCAUUUUCAGCAUCACUGUGACUCCAGGAUAUUUCAAAGGAAUCACUUCUAGAGAGGAAAACUGAUGUUUCGGAAUGACCUGACCAAGGUCCAGAACUAUAGUUGUGAGAAAAAUCUGUGAGACCACCUGAAAUAGGCUGUGGACAAACGAUGUCUUCACAAUCUGAAAAAUUUAGAGUGUUUGCUUUUGGAUUGAGGGUUGAUGCACUCACUGUGUGAAGGCAACUGGGUUAUCGCAUUCAGUUUACUUUCUUUUUUUCCCCCCCGACAGGUUUUAGUUUUAAUCCAAGAUAUGUGGAUAAUAAUUGGAAGUUAUUUGUAAUACUCUCAAAAAGGGCGUGUGUAAACUUCUACAUAGAUGAUCAAGUGAUUUUUCUUCCUGUGUUUGACACUUGUUAUGAUGCAAAGCAGAGAAAUACUCUCAUUAAACAAGUAGGAAUGGUUC